GACGAACGCUGGCGGCGUGCUUAACACAUGCAAGUCGAACGUGAUUUUUGUGGAAAUUCUUUCGGGAAUGGAAAUGAAAUGAAAGUGGCGAACGGGUGAGUAACACGUGAGCAACCUACCUUACACAGGGGGAUAGCCGUUGGAAACGACGAUUAAUACCGCAUGAGACCACAGAAUCGCAUGAUAUAGGGGUCAAAGAUUUAUCGGUGUAAGAAGGGCUCGCGUCUGAUUAGCUAGUUGGAAGGGUAAAGGCCUACCAAGGCGACGAUCAGUAGCCGGUCUGAGAGGAUGAACGGCCACAUUGGAACUGAGACACGGUCCAAACUCCUACGGGAGGCAGCAGUGGGGAAUAUUGCACAAUGGGGGGAACCCUGAUGCAGCGACGCCGCGUGAGCGAAGAAGGUUUUCGAAUCGUAAAGCUCUGUCCUAUGAGAAGAUAAUGACGGUAUCAUAGGAGGAAGCCCCGGCUAAAUACGUGCCAGCAGCCGCGGUAAUACGUAUGGGGCGAGCGUUGUCCGGAAUUAUUGGGCGUAAAGGGCAUGCAGGCGGGUCGCCAAGCUUGGUAAGAAAUACCGGGGCUCAACUCCGGAGCUAUAUUGAGAACUGGCGAGCUGGAGUUGCCGAAGGGUAUCCGGAAUUCCGCGUGAAGGGGUGAAAUCUGUAGAUAUGCGGAAGAACACCGAUGGCGAAGGCAGGAUACCGGCGGACGACUGACGCUGAGGUGCGAAGGUGCGGGGAGCAAACAGG
rnacentral:rRNA from 1 species